rnacentral:rRNA from 1 species
GACCAAGUUAACAAGCGCAUUCGGUGAAUGCCUUGGCGGUAGAAGGCGAUGAAGGACGUGACAAUCUGCGAUAUGCCUCGGGGAGCUGAUAAUAAGCUUUGAUCCGGGGAUUUCCGAAUGGGAAAACCCAGCUGUUUUAAACAGUUAUCAAAUACUGAAUACAUAGGUAUUUGAGGCAAACCCAGGGAACUGAAACAUCUAAGUACCUGGAGGAAAAGAAAUCAACCGAGAUUCCCUAAGUAGCGGCGAGCGAAAGGGGACCAGCCCAGACACUAUAAUCUUAUCUGACUUAACAAAAUGUUCUGGAAAGUUCAGCCAUAGUAGGUGAUAGCCCUGUAUGUGAAAAGUUAGAUGAGUGAGUGUCGAAGAGUAGGACGAGGCACGUGAAACCUUGUCUGAACAUAGGGGGACCAUCCUCUAAGGCUAAAUACUACUUACUGACCGAUAGUGAACCAGUACCGUGAGGGAAAGGUGAAAAGAACCCCGGGAGGGGAGUGAAAUAGAACCUGAAACCGUUUGCGUACAAGCAGUAGGAGCCCAUUUAUUGGGUGACUGCGUACCUUUUGUAUAAUGGGUCAGUGAGUUACUUUUAGUGG